rnacentral:lncRNA from 1 species
CUUUAGACUAGACUACUAUCUAACACAUUAAUCUCACUUAACAUCCAUUUAUAUCUAACAUAGGCAUUUUCAAUUUCUAGCUAAAGCUAACAUCCAUUAAUAUCUAACAGAGGCAUUUAUAUCAAACAUCCAUUUAUAUCUAACACGGUUUCGACUAGACUACUAUCUAACACAAUAAUCUCACUUAACCAUAUUUAUUACCAACCGCGA